rnacentral:rRNA from 1 species
GACGAACGCUGGCGGCGUGCUUAACACAUGCAAGUCGAACGGAAAGGCCCUGCUUUUGUGGGGUGCUCGAUUGGCGAACGGGUGAGUAACACGUGAGUAACCUGCCCUUGACUUUGGGAUAACUUCACGAAACUGGGGCUCAUACCGGAUAGGAUCUCCUGCUGCAUGUUGGGGGUUGGAAAGUUUCGGCGGUUGGGGAUGGACUCGCGGCUUAUCAGCUUGUUGGUGUGGUAGUGGCUUACCAAGGCUUUGACGGGUAGCCGGCCUGAGAGGGUGACCGGCCACAUUGGGACUGAGAUACGGCCCAGACUCCUACGGGAGGCAGCAGUGGGGAAUAUUGCACAAUGGGCGGAAGCCUGAUGCAGCAACGCCGCGUGCGGGAUGACGGCCUUCGGGUUGUAAACCGCUUUCGCCGGUGACGAAGCGUGAGUGACGGUAAUGGGUAAAGAAGCACCGGCUAACUACGUG